AUUUCUCUUCUUUAGUGGUUUUCCUGAUAUGUCCUGAUUCUUGGAUUUGUCACUGAUAAUUCACGAAGUUGUCAAAGAAAACGUCAUCUCAGAAAAACCAUUGAAGGAGAGAAAUU